rnacentral:rRNA from 1 species
ACUCCUACGGGAGGCAGCAGUAGGGAAUCUUCCACAAUGGGCGCAAGCCUGAUGGAGCAACACCGCGUGAGUGAAGAAGGGUUUCGGCUCGUAAAGCUCUGUUGUUAAAGAAGAACACGUAUGAGAGUAACUGUUCAUACGUUGACGGUAUUUAACCAGAAAGUCACGGCUAACUACGUGCCAGCAGCCGCGGUAAUACGUAGGUGGCAAGCGUUAUCCGGAUUUAUUGGGCGUAAAGAGAGUGCAGGCGGUUUUCUAAGUCUGAUGUGAAAGCCUUCGGCUUAACCGGAGAAGUGCAUCGGAAACUGGAUAACUUGAGUGCAGAAGAGGGUAGUGGAACUCCAUGUGUAGCGGUGGAAUGCGUAGAUAUAUGGAAGAACACCAGUGGCGAAGGCGGCUACCUGGUCUGCAACUGACGCUGAGACUCGAAAGCAUGGGUAGCGAACAGGAUUAGAUACCCUGGUAGGAAACCC